UGAGGAAUAUUGGGCAAUGCCCGCAAGGGUGACCCAGCAACGCCGCGUGGAGGAUGAAUGUCGUAAGAUUGUAAACUCCUGUUAGAGGGGAAGAAUAGUACCGGUUGGACCGGUAUAUGACUGUACCCUCAGAGAAAGCCCCGGCUAACUACGUGCCAGCAGCCGCGGUAAUACGUAGGGGGCAAGCGUUGUCCGGAUUUACUGGGUGUAAAGGGCGCGCAGGCGGGAUAAAAAGUCAGUGGUGAAAUCCUACAGCUUAACUGUAGAACUGCCUUUGAUACUUUUAUUCUUGAGUUCGAGAGAGAGAGACGGAAUUCCAGGUGUAGUGGUGAAAUACGUAGAUAUCUGGAAGAACACCAGUUGCGAAGGCGGUCUCUUGGUCCGACACUGACGCUGAGGCGCUAAAGCGUGGGGAGCAAACA
rnacentral:rRNA from 1 species